rnacentral:lncRNA from 1 species
UGGUUGAUCCUUUGAUGUUUUAUUAGAACUAAUUGCAUAAAAUUAAGAUAAGUACUCACUUUCGUAGGAAUCACGAUUGCACUUAGCACGUGCAACAAGCCGUUAAACCCCUAGGUUACCCUAGUGGACGAGUGUUGUCUCGUGAGGGUUUUCAGGGAUGUUAUCCACAAAUAUCAUGAAUUAUAUGACAUGAGAUUCUAAUAAAAAAAUAUGAAAUAAAUCUUAAGCUAAUACACAUGUAAUUAAUUGAUAUAUAUUUUCAAGCAUGGCAACUGUCAAAGCAAGGAAAU